rnacentral:hammerhead_ribozyme from 1 species
GCACUGCUCAAGAGUCCCACAAUAGGACUAAACGGCCUUCCAGUGU